GCUGGGUGUGGUGAUGCACACCUGUAGUCCCAGCUACUUAGGAAGCUGAGUUGGGAGGAUUGCUUGAGCCCAGGAGUUCAGAGGCUGCAGUGAGCUGUGAUUGCACCACUGCACUCCAGCCUGGGAGAAGAGCAAGACCCUGCCUCUA
rnacentral:SRP_RNA from 2 species